rnacentral:rRNA from 1 species
UACGGAAGGGGCAAGCGUUGUUCGGAAUCAUUGGGCGUAAAGGGCGCGUAGGUGGUUCUGUAUGUCUACCGUGAAAGCGUACGGCUCAACCGUAUUUUGUCGGUGGAAACUGCAGGACUUGAGGCUGGGAGGGGCUGGUGGAAUUCCCUGUGUAGCGGUGAAAUGCGUAGAUAUCUGGAGGAACACCGGUGGCGAAGGCGGCGUCCUGGACCAACACUGACACUGAUGAGCGAAAGCCAGGGGAGCAAACGGG